UUCAGUUUUUGUAAAAAUAGUUUGAUUUAGGGAGAGAGCUGCAAUUUAAGAUUCGCAUGCUUACAGCAUAGGAAAGACAAACAAAACUCUUUGCAGUGUCUUCCCAGUACAGGCAAGUGCUGUUAAUGCAAAGUUUGUUCAGCAUCCCUAUGGAAUUAUAACAGUGAGGUCUUGACCUUCUUCUGAGGUAUAAUAGCUCAGAUCUCUGUAUCCAUGAAGAAUCUUUUUGAAGUCACAGGUUUACACUGGAGUGCUUUUCUGUCACAGUGUAUCAUCUGGCCUAUUUGUUUUAGAAGAUCACAGGAAUUUAACUGAGUAAAAGUAGACUUAAAAUACUUCACAAAGAUAUUUCAGUUUAAAAGAAAAGUUUGAGAUCACAAAAAUGGCCCUCUUAACAAAAUAAAUUCAGUGUGAAAGAGUGUUUCUAAUCUUGGUUCAGGCAAUGAUGAAAUGAAAAUACUGUUGUGCUUGAUUUCAGGUUCACCAUUCAUACGUUGCUGUUCUCUUCUUGCAGAUACAGAGGUGAUCAUUCUUAAAACAGACGCUUUCUUCAUCGUGAUAAGUAGGUCCUGUGGCUUUGGACUGGAGCUUCCACCAUCAAGCACAGCACUGCUGCGGUCCUACUGAACUCAUGGCCUCAGCUCUGCUGCAGGAGAGAGAGGAAGAGCAUGAAGAAGUAGAUGGGGCAGUGGUCCUUUCCUAGAACUGACUGCUGUGAAGCAGUAGACAUAGCAUUUAGGAACAAUUUUGUCAUUCUUUACCUGCAAUAAGCAUUAUAGAAUGCAUCCAACAUAGGGGAGAAUUGGAUAAAUCAGGAUAAAUGGCCUGAAAGGCACAUGCAAUGAUGAUAAUGGACAGUACGAUCAGCUGUUGUGUUCCUUUGUGUCAGAACAGAAGCAACAAUAUGUGGUCACUCUAAUAAACGCAGCAAGAAUAUAGAAACUUUAUGUUAC
rnacentral:lncRNA from 1 species